rnacentral:rRNA from 1 species
CGGGACGGGUGAGUAAUGUCUGGGAAACUGCCUGAUGGAGGGGGAUAACUACUGGAAACGGUAGCUAAUACCGCAUAACGUCGCAAGACCAAAGAGGGGGACCUUCGGGCCUCUUGCCAUCGGAUGUGCCCAAAUGGGAUUAGCUAGUAGGUGGGGUAAUGGCUCACCUAGGCGACGAUCCCUAGCUGGUCUGAGAGGAUGACCAGCCACACUGGAACUGAGACACGGUCCAG